rnacentral:rRNA from 1 species
AUUGAACGCUGGCGGCAUGCCUAACACAUGCAAGUCGAACGGGGGUAGCAAUACCCUAGUGGCGGACGGGUGAGGAAUACGUAGGAAUUUGCCCUUAAGUGGGGGAUAACCCGGGGAAACCCGGACUAAUACCGCAUGAUCUCGUGAGAGCAAAGCAGGGGACCGCAAGGCCUUGCGGUUUUGGAGAAGCCUACGUCGGAUUAGCUAGUUGGUGGGGUAAUGGCCCACCAAGGCUACGAUCCGUAACUGGUCUGAGAGGAUGAUCAGUCACACCGGAACUGAGACACGGUCCGGACUCCUACGGGAGGCAGCAGUGGGGAAUAUUGGACAAUGGGCGAAAGCCUGAUCCAGCAAUGCCGCGUGUGUGAAGAAGGCCUUCGGGUUGUAAAGCACUUUAGGCUGGAAAGAAAAAGCUUUGGCUAAUAACCAAAGCCUUGACGGUACCAGCAGAAUAAGCACCGGCUAACUCUGUGCCAGCCGCCGCAGUAAUAC